UCCUUUUUGGCCUUUAACCUUCCUCCAUGUAAGAACACAGUGAACAAGGUGCCAUCCUGGAAACAAACAGCAGCCUUCACCAGACACCAGACCUUCUGGCACCUUGACCUUACACUUUCCAGCCUCCAGAACCGUGAGAAAUCAAUGUUUAUUGUUUAUAAAUUACCCAAUCUGUGGUAUUUCUUUAAAACAGCAUAAUGGGACUAAGACACCGUCAGAACUUGGGACUAGAAGAAUAAUUUUGCCCUCUGAGAGCUGAUUCUUAACACAGAAUAAAAAUGAAGAAUUACUAUAAAGAGAUGGACUACCUCAAAGGACUAGAACUAUUGUCACUGAGGGCAGGUGAAAGUUCAGCCAACUCGGAACCCGGAGGCCCCACCUUACCUCCCUUUGUGAAGAGCCCAGAGCCUUUGUCCAAAGCUGCAUCACUUCCCACCCAGCCCUUCCUGAGCCAACUCCCCGAUGUCU
rnacentral:lncRNA from 1 species